AUUAUUGUGGUGGCAAAGUCAGUGGAAACACGUGUAUAUCGCGCCUUACCCUUUGGUCUGUCCUGGAGACUGUUUUGCUCCCAGACCAGAACAUGGCCAUCGCGAUGACGAUGAUUAAGCUUGCUGCGUCGGAAGGGCAUAUUGAAUGCUUCACUUUUCCUGAGCUUUUUCGAUUUGUAUAAAUAUAUUAAAAUAAAACUAAACUAUAUUCGAAACGGAUUCGCACUUUUUCUAUGCGAAUUGUCGGCAAAAUAAAACCGAAUUACAGCAUAAACACACAAUACACGACUUGAUGUUGUUGUUGCUGGUGUUUCACUUUUA